rnacentral:rRNA from 1 species
GAUCAAGCCACUAAGGGCAUACGGUGGAUGACUUGGCGUCAAGAGGCGAUGAAAGACGUUGGAACCUGCGAAAAGCUACAGGGAGCUGGUAACCGAGCUGUGAUCUGUAGAUGUCUGAAUGGGGCAACCCACCCGCAAGGGUAUCGUGCACUGAAUGCAUAGGUGUACGAGGCAAACCCAGGGAACUGAAACAUCUAAGUACCUGGAGGAAAGGAAAGCAACAUGCGACUCCGUAAGUAGCGGCGAGCGAAAGCGGAUAGAUGUGAACCUUGUGAGCACGUUGGAAUGCGUGACCAAAGACGGUGAAAGUCCGGUAGCAAGGUGUAGCAUCAUAGCCCUCGAGUAGGCUCGGGCUCGUGGAACCCGGGUUGAACAUGGGAGGUCCACCUUCCAAGGCUAAGUACUCCUUGACGACCGAUAGCGAAGAAGUAAAGUGAUUGAAAGUUUAAAAGUACCCCUAUUAGGGGGGUGAAAUAGACCUGAAACCGUAUGCCUACAAGCGGUCGGAGCCCUACGGGGUGACGGCGUGCUUUUUGCAUAAUGAGCCCGCGAGUUAGUCUCAGUGGCGAGCUUAAGGCCUAACGGGCCGGAGGCGGAGCGAAAGCGAGUCUGAAUAGGGCGUUGAGUCGCUGGGGCUAGACACGAAACCCGUGUGAUCUACCCAUGGUCAGGGUGAAGGUGGGGUAAAACCCGCUGGAGGCCCGAACCCGUUAACGUUGAAAAGUUAUGGGAUGAACUGUGGGGAGGGGUCAAAGUCCAAUCAAACCGGGAGAUAGCUUGUUCUCACCGAAAUAACUUUAGGGUUAGCCUCAAGAAGCAACUGUUGGGGGUAGAGCUACUGGAUGCGAGGUGGGCCCGUCUAGGGUACCCCUUGCAACCAAACUCCGAAUACCAACAGCCAAGUCUUGGGAGAUAGACUGCGAGUGAAAAUAUCCGUAGUCAAAAGGAGAAUAAUCCUGAUCGCCGGCUAAGGUCCCCAAAUCAUGCUCAGUUCUUAAGGAGGUCAGACUGCCGUGACAACCAGGAUGUUGGCUUAGAAGCAGCCACCAUUUAAAGAGUGCGUAAUAGCUCACUGGUCGAGGAGUUUGGCGCCGAUAAUGAUCGGGAAUAAGCAUGAUACCGAAGCCGCGGACUUCGUAAGAAGUGGUAGGUGAGCGUUCCAUUCAGCUUUGAAGGUGUUCGGUAACGGAUGCUGGAGCGUAUGGAAGUGAAUAUGCGGGCUUGAGUAACGAUAAACAGGGUGAGAAUCCCUGUCGCCGUAAGUCUAAGGUUUCCUGGGGAAGGUACAUCCGCCCAGGGUUAGCCGGGUCCUAAGGCGAGGCUGAAAAGCGUAGUCGAUGGAUAGCAGGUUAAUAUUCCUGCGCACCUGUUGAGAUCAAAGCAUAGUGCGGAUUUCCAAGCUCUUCUGGACUGCUAGUUGUCCAGGCCUUCGGGCCGUUGAAGGGGGAGGGAGUUCCUAGAAAAGCUAUGUGGGCAAUACAGGUCCCGUACUAAAACUGACACAGGUAGACGAGGCGAAUAGCCUCAGGCGCUCGAGAGAAUGGUUGUGAAGGAACUAGGCAAAAUCACUCCGUAAGUUCGCAAGAAGGAGGCCCUUCGGGGCGCAGAGAAAAGGCCCUGGCAACUGUUUAUCAAAAACACAGCACUGUGCUAACUCGCAAGAGGAUGUAUACAGUGUGACGCUUGCCCAAUGCCCGAAUGUCACGGGAGCAGGUUAGCUUCGGCGAAGCUUGCAACUUAAGCACGGGUCAAUGGCGGCCGUAACUAUGACGGUCCUAAGGUAGCGAAGUUCCUUGUCGGGUAAGUUCCGACGCGCAUGAAUAGCGUAAUGACUGGGGCACUGUCUCCACAACCAACUCGGUGAAAUAGUAGUGGCGGUGAAGAUGCCGCCUACCCGCAGCAAGACGGAAAGACCCCGUGAACCUUUACUGCAGGCUCAUAUUGGUCAUGAGCACAUGAUGCGCAGGAUAAGUGGGAGACUUUGAAGCCGAUAUUCAGGUGUCGGUGGAGUCGUUGGUGAGAUACCACUCUUCUUGAGUUUGUGGCCUAACCCUGAUUCCCGUGAAGCCGGGCAGGGGACAGUGUGUGUCGGGUAGUUUGACUGGGGCGGUCUCCUCCUAAAGAGUAACGGAGGAGCGCAAAGGUUGGCUCAGCACGGAUGGAAACCGUGUUUCAGAGUGUAAGAGCACAAGCCAGCUUUACUGCGAGUCCGACAGGACGAGCAGUCUCGAAAGAGGGCUCUAGUGAUCCUGCGAUCGCGUGUGGAAGCGUCGUAGCUCAUCGGAUAAAAGGUACUCCGGGGAUAACAGGCUUAUCGCUCCCGAGCGUCCAUAGCGGCGGAGCGGUUUGGCACCUCGAUGUCGGCUCAUCGCAUCCUGGGGCUGAAGGCGGUCCCAAGGGUUAGGCUGUUCGCCUAUUAAAGCGGUACGCGAGCUGGGUUCAGACCGGCGUGAGCCAGGUCGGUCCCUAUCUGUUGUGGGCGUUGCAAACUUGAGAGGAGUCAACUUUAGUACGAGAGGAUUAGGUUGGACUGACCCCUGGUGAUCCUGUUGGGCUGCUAAGCCCAUCGCAGGGUAGCUACGUCGGGCAGGGAUAACAGCUGAAAGCAUCUAAGCAGGAAGCCCCCCUCGAGAUCAGGUUUGCUUGUCUUGUACGAGAGACCCCUGGGAGACUACCAGGUUGAUAGGCCGCAGGUGUAAGGGUUGAGAAGCCCUCAGCUGAGCGGUACUAACGGUCGAAGGUUUGGUCAC